rnacentral:miRNA from 1 species
UUGCCCAGAUCGAUCGCCAGCU